rnacentral:snoRNA from 1 species
UUAUGAUGAGCAAUUUAGAUGACGAGUCUGAUCCGGGUAACCGAUGUUGACACAAUCAAAUAAUACCAUUCAUGCCAACUGACA